GAUGAACGCUGGCGGCGUGCCUAAUACAUGCAAGUCGAGCGAACGGACGAGAAGCUUGCUUCUCUGAUGUUAGCGGCGGACGGGUGAGUAACACGUGGAUAACCUACCUAUAAGACUGGGAUAACUUCGGGAAACCGGAGCUAAUACCGGAUAAUAUUUUGAACCGCAUGGUUCAAAAGUGAAAGACGGUCUUGCUGUCACUUAUAGAUGGAUCCGCGCUGCAUUAGCUAGUUGGUAAGGUAACGGCUUACCAAGGCAACGAUGCAUAGCCGACCUGAGAGGGUGAUCGGCCACACUGGAACUGAGACACGGUCCAGACUCCUACGGGAGGCAGCAGUAGGGAAUCUUCCGCAAUGGGCGAAAGCCUGACGGAGCAACGCCGCGUGAGUGAUGAAGGUCUUCGGAUCGUAAAACUCUGUUAUUAGGGAAGAACAUAUGUGUAAGUAACUGUGCACAUCUUGACGGUACCUAAUCAGAAAGCCACGGCUAACUACGUGCCAGCAGCCGCGGUAAUACGUAGGCGGCAAGCGUUAUCCGGAAUUAUUGGGCGUAAAGCGCGCGUAGGCGGUUUUUUAAGUCUGAUGUGAAAGCCCACGGCUCAACCGUGGAGGGUCAUUGGAAACUGGAAAACUUGAGUGCAGAAGAGGAAAGUGGAAUUCCAUGUGUAGCGGUGAAAUGCGCAGAGAUAUGGAGGAACACCAGUGGUGAAGGCGACUUUCUGGUCUGUAACUGACGCUGAUGUGCGAAAGCGUGGGGAUCAAACAGGAUUAGAUACCCUGGUAGUCCACGCCGUAAACGAUGAGUGCUAAGUGUUAGGGGGUUUCCGCCCCUUAGUGCUGCAGCUAACGCAUUAAGCACUCCGCCUGGGGAGUACGACCGCAAGGUUGAAACUCAAAGGAAUUGACGGGGACCCGCACAAGCGGUGGAGCAUGUGGUUUAAUUCGAAGCAACGCGAAGAACCUUACCAAAUCUUGACAUCCUUUGACAACUCUAGAGAUAGAGCCUUCCCCUUCGGGGGACAAAGUGACAGGUGGUGCAUGGUUGUCGUCAGCUCGUGUCGUGAGAUGUUGGGUUAAGUCCCGCAACGAGCGCAACCCUUAAGCUUAGUUGCCAUCAUUAAGUUGGGCACUCUAAGUUGACUGCCGGUGACAAACCGGAGGAAGGUGGGGAUGACGUCAAAUCAUCAUGCCCCUUAUGAUUUGGGCUACACACGUGCUACAAUGGACAAUACAAAGGGCAGCGAAACCGCGAGGUCAAGCAAAUCCCAUAAAGUUGUUCUCAGUUCGGAUUGUAGUCUGCAACUCGACUACAUGAAGCUGGAAUCGCUAGUAAUCGUAGAUCAGCAUGCUACGGUGAAUACGUUCCCGGGUCU
rnacentral:rRNA from 1 species